rnacentral:rRNA from 1 species
UGCGUAGGCGGGUCUUUAAGUCAGGGGUGAAAUCCUGGAGCUCAACUCCAGAACUGCCUUUGAUACUGAGGAUCUUGAGUUCGGGAGAGGUGAGUGGAACUGCGAGUGUAGAGGUGAAAUUCGUAGAUAUUCGCAAGAACACCAGUGGCGAAGGCGGCUCACUGGCCCGAUACUGACGCUGAGGCAAAGACGUGGGGAGGCGAAACA